UAACGCGAAGAACCUUACCAAGGCUUGACAUGAACCGGAAAGACCUGGAAACAGGUGCCCCGCUUGCGGUCGGUUUACAGGUGGUGCAUGGUUGUCGUCAGCUCGUGUCGUGAGAUGUUGGGUUAAGUCCCGCAACGAGCGCAACCCUCGUUCUAUGUUGCCAGCGGUUCGGCCGGGGACUCAUAGGAGACUGCCGGGGUCAACUCGGAGGAAGGUGGGGACGACGUCAAAUCAUCAUGCCCCUUAUGUCUUGGGCUUCACGCAUGCUACAAUGGCCGGUACAAAGGGUUGCGAUACUGUGAGGUGGAGCUAAUCCCAAAAAGCCGGUCUCAGUUCGGAUUGGGGUCUGCAACUCGACCCCAUGAAGUCGGAGUCGCUAGUAAUCGCAGAUCAGCAACGCUGCGGUGAAUACGUUCCCGGGUCUUGUACAC
rnacentral:rRNA from 1 species